GCCCUGAUGGUGGAAUAGGUAGACACAGGAGACUUAAAAUCUUCUGCUCGUAAGAGCGUGCCGGUUCAAGUCCGGCUCGGGGCA
rnacentral:tRNA from 1 species